UAUAUAAAAAAAAAGAAAAAAAAAAAACUUUCCACUCAAAUAAAUAUACAUAUCUCCAACAGUACAAUAAACAUAAUAAAUAAACUACAUAGUCACUAACACUUAUACAAUUUAUACAUACAUAUUCCUGUUUUAUAUAUAUAAAAAAAAAGAAAAAAAAAACUUUGCACUCAAAUAAAUAUACAUAUCUCCAACAGUACAAUAAACAUAAUAAAUAAACUACAUAGUCACUAACACUUAUACGAAUUAUCCAUACAUAUUCCUCUUUUAUAUAUCAUAAAAAAAAAAAAAAAUAAAAACGCCUAACAAAUCAAAUCAACAUACAAGUCUCCAACAAUACAAUAAAUAAUCUACAUAUUCACUAACACUUAUACAAUUUAUCCAUACAAAUUCCUUUUUUAUAUAUCAAACAAAAAAAAAAAAAAAACCUUGCAUUGAAAUGAACAUACAAGUCUCCAAUAGUACAACAAAUAAUUUACAUAGUAACCAAUACUUAUACGAAUUAUCCAUAUAAAAUCUCUCUUUUAUGUAUAAAAAAAAAAAAAAAAAAAAAAAACUUUGCACUGAAAUGAACAUACAAGUCUCUAACAAUACAAUAAACAUAAUAAAUAAUCUACAUGGUCACCAAAACUUAUAUCAGUUAUUCAUACAAAUUCUUGUUUUGUAUAUUAAAAAAAAAAAAAAAAUUAACACUCAAAUGAAUAUACAAGUCUUCAACAGUACAACAAAUAAUUUACAUAGUCACCAACACUUAUACUAUUUAUUCAUACAUUUUCCUCUUUUAUAUAUUACAAAAAAAAAAAAAAAAAAAAACACUUUGCACUCAAAUGAACAUACAUAUCUCCAACAGCACAACAAAUAAUCGACAUAGUCACUAACACUUAUACAAUUUAUCCAUACAAAUUCUCGUUUUGUAUAUUAAAAAAAAAAAAAACACUUUGCACUCAAAUGAACAUACAUAUCUCCAACAGCACAACAAAUAAUCGACAUAGUCACUAACACUUAUACAAUUUAUCCAUACAAAUUCUCGUUUUGUAUAUUAAAAAAAAAAAAAACACUUUGCACUCAAAUGAACAUACAUAUCUCCAACAGUACAAAUAAACAUAACAAUUUGGAGCAAGUUACUAUCAGGGAAAGAAUCAACAAAAUUUGAAGCAAGUUACUAUCAGGGAAAGAAUCAACAAAAUUUGGAGCAAGUUACUAUCAAGGAAAGAAUCAACAAAAGUUAGUUAUUUUUAUCUUUAUUUAUUAUAUCACAUUACUUAAUCGCUUCCCCAUGGUUGGAAAUUCUCAAUAUGUAUAUAGUUACAGCUAUAGUA